rnacentral:tRNA from 1 species
GCUUUCUUAGCUCAAUGGUAGAGCCUUGGCCGCGGCAAGAGAUAAGGGUUCAAUUCCCUUAGAGAGCACCA